rnacentral:rRNA from 1 species
GUGGGGAAUAUUGCACAAUGGGGGAAACCCUGAUGCAGCAACGCCGCGUGAAGGAAGACGGUUUUCGGAUUGUAAACUUCUUUUCUUAGUGAAGAAGCAAGUGACGGUAGCUAAGGAAUAAGCAUCGGCUAACUACGUGCCAGCAGCCGCGGUAAUACGUAGGAUGCGAGCGUUAUCCGGAAUUACUGGGUGUAAAGGGAGCGCAGGCGGGACUGCAAGUUGGAUGUGAAAUACCGCAGCUUAACUGCGGAGCUGCAUCCAAAACUGUAGUUCUUGAGUGGAGUAGAGGCAAGCGGAAUUCCGAGUGUAGCGGUGAAAUGCGUAGAUAUUCGGAGGAACACCAGUGGCGAAGGCGGCUUGCUGGGCUCUAACUGACGCUGAGGCUCGAAAGUGUGGGGAGCAAACAGGAUUAGAAACCCUAGUAGUCC